AUGACGUUCAUCUUACUUGAAGAUCUUGGACUGAACAAGAAGAAAUUUCUUUCCAGUUUGAACUUCCAAGUGGCAUCCUACUGGCUCAACUCUGGAGAACUCUUCUUAGCCACAUAUGUGUUUGGACUGCAUCUUCCCGGCUUUAUACACACAAAUACAAUGAAAUUGAGCAUAUUUUCUGACAAAUUGGAACACCCUUUUCCAUAG
rnacentral:lncRNA from 1 species